rnacentral:rRNA from 1 species
CGUGCCUAACACAUGCAAGUCGAACGGAGAUGUUCAGAUGAGAUUCGAUUGAUGAAGAAAUAUCUAGUGGCGGACGGGUGAGUAACGCGUGAGUAACCUGCCCAUAAGAGGGGGAUAACGUUCUGAAAAGAACGCUAAUACCGCAUAACAUAUUUGAAUCGCAUGAUUUGGAUAUCAAAGGAGCAAUCCGCUUAUGGAUGGACUCGCGUCCGAUUAGCUGGUUGGCGGGAUACAGCCCACCAAGGCGACGAUCGGUAGCCGGACUGAGAGGUUGAACGGCCACAUUGGGACUGAGACACGGCCCAGACUCCUACGGGAGGCAGCAGUGGGGGAUAUUGCGCAAUGGGGGGAAACCCUGACGCAGGACCAACGCCGCGUGAAUGAUGAAGGUCUUCGGAUUGUAAAAUUCUUUUGUUGAGGACGAAAGAAAUGACGGUACUCAACGAAUAAGCUCCGGCUAACUACGUGCCAGCAGCUGC